rnacentral:rRNA from 1 species
CCUACGGGAGGCAGCAGUGGGGAAUAUUGGACAAUGGGCGAAAGCCUGAUCCAGCCAUGCCGCGUGUGUGAAGAAGGCCUUCGGGUUGUAAAGCACUUUCAGUGGGGAAUAAAGCCUUGGGGCUAAUACCCUCGAGGAAGGACAUCACCCACAGAAGAAGCACCGGCUAACUCCGUGCCAGCAGCCGCGGUAAUACGGAGGGUGCGAGCGUUAAUCGGAAUUACUGGGCGUAAAGCGCGCGUAGGCGGUCUGAUAAGCCGGUUGUGAAAGCCCCGGGCUCAACCUGGGAACGGCAUCCGGAACUGUCAGGCUAGAGUGCAGGAGAGGAAGGUAGAAUUCCCGGUGUAGCGGUGAAAUGCGUAGAGAUCGGGAGGAAUACCAGUGGCGAAGGCGGCCUUCUGGACUGACACUGACGCUGAGGUGCGAAAGCGUGGGUAGCAAACAGGAUUAGAUACCCGGGUAGUC